rnacentral:rRNA from 1 species
ACGAACGCUGGCGGCACGCUUAACACAUGCAAGUCGAACGAGAGAAGAGAAGCUUGCUUUUCUGAUCUAGUGGCGGACGGGUGAGUAACACGUGAGCAAUCUGCCUUUCAGAGGGGGAUACCGAUUGGAAACGAUCGUUAAUACCGCAUAAUAUAAUUGAACCGCAUGAUUUGAUUAUCAAAGAUUUAUCGCUGAAAGAUGAGCUCGCGUCUGAUUAGCUAGUUGGUAAGGUAACGGCUUACCAAGGCGACGAUCAGUAGCCGGACUGAGAGGUUGAUCGGCCACAUUGGGACUGAGACACGGCCCAGACUCCUACGGGAGGCAGCAGUGGGGAAUAUUGCACAAUGGAGGAAACUCUGAUGCAGCGAUGCCGCGUGAGGGAAGAAGGUUUUAGGAUUGUAAACCUCUGUCUUCAGGGACGAAAAAAGACGGUACCUGAGGAGGAAGCUCCGGCUAACUACGUGCCAGCAGCCGCGGUAAUACGUAGGGAGCGAGCGUUGUCCGGAAUUACUGGGUGUAAAGGGAGCGUAGGCGGGAUCGCAAGUCAGAUGUGAAAAUUAUGGGCUUAACCCAUAAACUGCAUUUGAAACUGUGGUUCUUGAGUGAAGUAGAGGUAAGCGGAAUUCCUAGUGUAGCGGUGAAAUGCGUAGAUAUUAGGAGGAACAUCAGUGGCGAAGGCGGCUUACUGGGCUGUAACUGACGCUGAGGAUCGAAAGCGUGGGGAGCAAACAGGAUUAGAUACCCUGGUAGUCCACGCCGUAAACGAUGAUUACUAGGUGUGGGGGGACUGACCCCUUCCGUGCCGCAGCAAACGCAAUAAGUAAUCCACCUGGGGAGUACGACCGCAAGGUUGAAACUCAAAGGAAUUGACGGGGGCCCGCACAAGCAGUGGAGUAUGUGGAUUAAUUCGAAGCAACGCGAAGAACCUUACCAGGUCUUGACAUCGUAUGCAUAGCUCAGAGAUGAGUGAAAUCUCUUCGGAGACAUAUAGACAGGUGGUGCAUGGUUGUCGUCAGCUCGUGUCGUGAGAUGUUGGGUUAAGUCCCGCAACGAGCGCAACCCUUACUGUUAGUUGCUACGCAAGAGCACUCUAGCAGGACUGCCGUUGACAAAACGGAGGAAGGUGGGGAUGACGUCAAAUCAUCAUGCCCCUUAUGACCUGGGCCUCACACGUACUACAAUGGCUGUAAACAGAGGGAUGCAAAGCCGCGAGGUGGAGCGAACCCCUAAAAGCAGUCUUAGUUCGGAUUGUAGGCUGCAACCCGCCUACAUGAAGUCGGAAUUGCUAGUAAUCGCAGAUCAGCAUGCUGCGGUGAAUACGUUCCCGGGCCUUGUACACACCGCCCGUCACGCCAUGGGAGUCGGUAACACCCGAAGCCUGUAGUCUAACCGCAAGGAGGACGCAGUCGAAGGUGGGAUUGAUGACUGGGGUG